ACUUUGGUGCCACUUGGCAUCCACUUAAAACACUUACUGCCACCUGUCAUCUCUUAAGGUUGCUGGCUUUGGAAAAUGGCGCUCAGAAUUUUGCUUUGCCUUCACCGUUCUCUUUUUCCAUUUUCUCAUCACUUUUCCUUUUCCCUUUCCAAAACCCUAAAUUCAACCAUGGCCGCAUACCUCUUUCCACCAUGACAAUCUUCGAUCUGAAUAUUUAUAUCCAUUAUUAUUCUGGCCGUUCACUCCAUUUCGCAAUGAAUCAAGACUUGAUAACCACAAAGAAUUGCAUCAACAAUCGUCAAGAAUCAACAUAAUCCAUGUUAAUCAUCGAUUCUUGCUUCCAAUUUCUUAUUAUAGAGGAUCUGCCAUAUAAUUUCAAGGUUGUGGUUAGUUGUGGAUGAUGGAGGCGGCGAUGGUGAUUAAGAUGGAACUGUGCUUCUGAAGAAGGAAUGUGAUGAUGUGCCAUUUGAGUUCAAAAAAGAUGAAGGUGAGUGCCAUAUAGGUAAGUUGUCAUAGUAAUAUCGAAUCUUUGAUGGAGCUUAUAUCAUAAUCUGGAACAGUUAAUUGUUAUAGAAUAAGAGAGUUGGUGGUCGGGUUGAUUCUAGAGACGAAAAAUAAUAUCAAUGGUUCUGAACUUUCUACUCUACUUGCUAGCCAUAUGGAUGUGGACAAGGUAAGUUUCGGGCUAUGGCCCAACUGGUGCAGCUCUUGCUAGCCAUAUGGAUGUGGACAAGGAUGAUAUGCUGAUAGCUCAAGAUGAGAUAUUUGGUCCUGUUCAAACCAUCUUGAAAUUCAAGGAGGUUGAUGAAGAGAUACAAAGGGCCAAUGCGACGCGAUAUGGACUUGCAUCGGGUGUUUUCACCCAAAACCUUGAUACUGCAAAUACGUUGACUCUAUUUUGGGCUUCUUUUAUAUUGAAUUGGGGAGAGGCGGUAUCUAUGCUUAUAGCGCAUACACAAUGCGUAUCUUCAGUUUUUUGGCUCAUUCUGGAUCGUGGGAUCACUCCAUUAGAAGAUGGGAUGUGGAGACAGGAAAAGACACACUAAACCUGUUUUGCGGGAAAGUGAUUAACUGGAUACAUGUUGCGGUGAACAACUCAGCCAAACAAAACACCAAACUGACUUUCAGUGAACAAAUCAGCGAAUAGAUUCAGCAAACUGAUUCAGCGAACUGACAAAAAUCUGCAGGGCUUUUAUUGAGAAAAUACAAGGCUAUAUCAGUUAUCCAGCCUGUUUUUUUCUUCUUCUUCUUAUGAUCUGGUAUUAACAAAAGCAAAUACACAUAUUCAGGUUACUUAUGAAGGUUUUCAAACUUCUUAGGUGGAAGCUCUAGGUCCAUGUCUAGACCAACUUACAAGUUUUGAUGUCGUGGAAGAGCCAAAGGACUCGGUCACUGUGAACUGUGUUGCGGGCAGUUUCACAAGUACCCGACUCGGUUCAACUGAAUGGUCUUUGCUUAUUGUCUUCAUGUCUGUUACUUUUGUCGUAUUUUACUUUUAAUUUUGAAAAUACUUGAUUAAUGGUUUCACUGAUUUAUGAUUAUGUGAGGCAACAUUAUCGCAUUAGUCCGGCUGAACUCUGUUAGAUAAAAUGUGA